CCAGGUCCAUCUAAACCGUCCAUUUACUCGCAUCCAACGACUCAGAUUACUUACCCCAAUUACAUAACAAUCUCUGAAACCCUUUUCAUUAACCUAAUACAGAUCUUGUCUCUCAUCUCCCUGAAACGCCAUAUCUCUCAUCAAACCAGCGUCGCCCUCACGUCCUCUCCGCCAUUUCCGCCCGCGUUCCACAUCCAAAUCUUCCCAAAACAUUGCCACACACUCCACAUAACCCCAUAAACAUUAAACCACCACCAAUUUUUCCUAAAUCCUCUCCACUUCUCCUUAAUUCCAAAUCGUAAAACGAAAUCCUAGACUUUUUCCCGCCUUCGAUUCCUCAUUUAAAAGGUCUGGUUUUGUUAUUCUCCAACUUUCGAAGACGAUUUUGGCUAAAAUGAGUGGUAGAGGUUUAUUCUCACAAGAACAAACCGACUAACACUCUUUUUUGCCUCAAAUUGGAAAGCCCAAAAGUCCGUUCAAGCCAUUUUCCCUUUUGACUAUUCUUGGUAUUUCUUUGCUUCUCAUCAUUUUUUGUUUUAUUUUUCUCACGUUCAUCUUCUUCUUUCUUAUUCCCCUUUUAUCUCAUAUCUUUUCUGUCCAUCUUAAUAUGCAUUUCAAGUCGCGUAUUGUCUGAUUCUUCUUAUUUCUUUCUUCUUCUUUUUGUUUAGUUCGAAUCGAUCUCUUUUGCAUGUUUAGAUUUAAGUCAUAUUAGUAAUUAUUAGUGUAAUUAACAUUUUCUUCUUCAGUAUUUUAAUUUCAUUUUUUGCCUGUUGUCUCAUUUCUACUUCUUCUUUUGUUCUUCUCAAUUAGUUUUUCUUUUGAUGCCGGGAUGGCAGAAUGUCGGUACUUACCUAUUUGCGGCCUGUGGUCUUUUGGAUCACAAUUUGGGCUUCAAGGGUUCAGGAUCCCAAAGGCAUAGAACCUGCUAGUGCAGUAGCUCAAGGCCUUUGGGCCAUUUCUCUAAAGUGUUGGUUUACUAAAGUAAAUAGUAGGGGUUCAAAGGGUAUUUUAGGUAAUUUGGCAUAGAGAAUCUUGCAUAACUAACUUAGGAAGCUUAUAGGAAGAUGGGUUUGGGACUUUGUGACUAACUCUGAAAAACUGAUUUUAAAUUAAGGGUACAGUAGCAAAAAUGAAAAUUCCAAAAGGAUAAAGAGCAAAACUGAAUUCAUUUUCUAUUGACCCAAGGCUUGCCUAUAAAGGCAUAGUUUCUUCACUAGCUAGUCAGAUUUUAGAGAUUAAAAGAACACUGAAAAGUUAGUAAACAGCUGAGUCUCUUUCAAGCUCAUAAACACUGAAAUUUUGCUGAAAAACUUGGUUACUAGUUUCUGGUUUUUGCUUCCUUUUGGUUCGUUAGAAUUUUGGAAAGAUCAAAUCAAGUAGCUGGAUUUUGUGGUAUCGCUGGUUAAAAAAUGGUUUGAGUUUGGGGUUUUAAAAGUUUUGGUUUGAGCUGUUGAUUUUGGUACUGUUACAUUGCUGAUUCUGCUACUGAUGUUGUUAACUCUUCAUUCCCUUUGGUUCCCUCUUAUUUUUCAGGUACUUCUCGUUAAACCAUGACUGGAAAUGAAGCUUGAUUAACCUGUUGUGUGAAGACAUGUAACCCAAGUUGAAGAAAUGACAAAUACUAGUCCCAUGUUAUUAUUUAUUGCUCGAGUUUGUCAUACUUUGUUCAUGUUUCUUCUAGUUCUAGCUUAUUCUGUAUAUUUUGUUCCCUAACAAUAUAUUUUGUUCUAAGUGCUGAAUUUGGAUUUUUGCUUGAUUGUUGUUUGGUUUAAAAGUAGUCCCAGGUUCAGGAAUAAUAUGUCUAAAGUGAAGUUUGUGACCUCUUAGUUCAAUUUUGUGAGUCUGGUUGUUUUUUUUUUUUUUGAAGAUUUUUCUCAUAGCUAUAGGUUAAGUAUUCAUCAAAUCAACUCAUUCAUGUUGUUUUGUUUUAUCAAAUUCGAUCUAGGCUUUAAUUUCAUUAGUUGAUUUUUUUUUCGAUUGCUUACUCAUAGCCUGAGAUAUGGCCACCGUUUAGCAUUUAGCUUGCCUUGCUCAUAUAUGAGCACCUUGAAUUCAAAAUGGCCUCUAAAUAAAUUUUGAGCUUAAAAUCAAAC
rnacentral:lncRNA from 1 species